rnacentral:rRNA from 1 species
GUGGAUUAGAUACCCGGGUAGUCCUAGCCGUAAACGAUGUGGACUUGGCGUAGGCGGGUUGAAAUCCAUCUGUGCCGAAGCAAACGCGAUAAGUCCACCACCUGGGGACUACGGCCGCAAGGCUAAAACUCAAAGGAAUUGACGGGGGCCCGCACAAGCAGCGGAGCGUGUGGUUUAAUUAGAUGUUACACGAAGAACCUUACCAGGGUUUGACAUGCAAGUGGUAGAGAAGCGAAAGCGGAACGACCCUUCGGGGAGCUUGCACAGGUGUUGCACGGUUGUCGUCAGCU